GUUAUAUUUGUCACUUCUUAAACUAAAGGAAAAGACUCACUUUUCUUAUAAAGUUGGAAGUAGUAAAUCUGUUCCUUUGAAACUAGAGAAAUAUGUCCCUGCCUAUGAAAACGCUGUUCUACUUUUGCAGAGGUAGCUGUAUCAUAGAGUGAAUGUGGCAACUGAUAUGGCCAUCACUGUGAAGAGCUGGGUACACACAUCAGCCUCAGGACACCCCCUGCAGUCCUAACUUGGGAACGUAAACCUCAGCUAUUGCAAUCCACAAAGGUCCUGCCAAAGGACACAGCAAAGGUCUCAUUGAACAAGAUAUGCCUGCUAUCAAGGAACUUUGGAUUUCUUGUGCCCAAGAACAAGCAAAUAAGAAGAGAAGUCAUUGUUUCAGCAAGGAUAAUUGUGUUCAUCAGAAGGAGGAUUCCAAUUUUCCAUGGGAAAAACCCCACUAUCACUGAGUGAAGAAGAUUUUGGCACUCUCAGUCCUCAUUAUCCCAGCUGCUUAAGAGUAGAGGAAGAAGACCUUCCCAGGAUGGCCACUCACCACCUUGCAAUGCCAAGAAUUCAAUUACUAUGAAGAAUACAAGUACAGAGAAGAAAGGAUAGGGGGUAAAGUUACUGGAUCUUGUGUUUGGAAGUACAGAGUGAAUAAUCUGAGACCUAGCAUUCUUCCUGCAAUAUGUACACAGAGAGGAAGGUAAGAAGGACGAAUAUUCUACUAAGAGUUAAAUUGAGAAACACAAACUCAAUUCUUUAGGCCAAAAUCAACUUAAUACAUUUGGCAAAUACAAUACAUUUUUAAAAAUUAUUUAUCACUAUUUGAAAUGUGUACAUUACAUAAAUACCUACAUUUCAUGCUUCUUCAAAAUAAAAUCAGAAGAUCUGGCAAUGCUAGACUCUGAGUUUUCUAAGAAACAGUCAUACCCUCACAGCACCAAACUCUGUUGUUUUUCCAGCACUGAGGUGGGGUUAUCUUCAAGCUUGAGCAAUGUUUCUUUCCACUAGCCAGGCUGCCUAGUUCAUUGAUAUUACCUGCCUCAUUCCUAUAGUCAUUUGAGUUUGUAAGCUGGCCCACCCCAAACCCUGGACUAACAUAUUAUUUUUAUUCACCAAGUGUGACAGGCAUGAGGUGCACCUCAGACUUUCAACUCUAAGGACCUUAACUGGCCAAAGCCUGCUGCACUCUGAAUCUACCAUAUUUUCACCAAGGGUGUGCCUCUUAUUGGCUUCUCCAAGCCAAUGACUGAGCACACGAGGAUCCUGAAACAAGAUUAUUCCUGAAGAACAUAGGUCUCUUCUUAUACCCAGCUUUGGCUCUAGGACUCUCUGAUGAUCAUGCUGAACCUUCUUACAUUGCAGAGCAAACUGUUUCCUUUCAACCUCUUUUCACAAGGGGUCAGAUUUUCAUCCCCCAGUUUUAUCCAGCUCCCUCCCCAUUUCUGUCACAGAGGCAUUUUUUUUCCAAUAAAAGCCUUGCCUGUAAGCCCGCCUUAAUGUCUACCUCUUGUUGGACCUAGACAAACAUAAGAGGUACAUAAGUUGAGUGAUCCAAAAAAACCAGGCCAUUAAAUGGGUAAAGAGACUGACUCACUCGCCACUCAACAGUUGGAGAGGAACAUCAUUCUCCUUUAUAAAUGAGAAAUGGAU
rnacentral:lncRNA from 1 species